rnacentral:rRNA from 1 species
CAGCCGCCGCGGUAAAACGAAGGGGGCUAGCGUUGCUCGGAAUGACUGGGCGUAAAGGGCGCGUAGGCGGUUCGUACAGUUGGAUGUGAAAUUCCUGGGCUUAACCUGGGGGCUGCAUUCAAUACGUGCGGGCUUGAGUGUGGAAGAGGGUUGUGGAAUUCCCAGUGUAGAGGUGAAAUUCGUAGAUGUUGGGAAGAACACCGGUGGCGAAGGCGGCAACCUGGUCCAUAACUGACGCUGAGGCGCGAAAGCGUGGGGAGCAAACAGGAUUAGAGACCCCAGUAGUCCCUGUCUCUUAUAC